UCCAGACUCCUACGGGAGGCAGCAGUGGGGAAUAUUGCACAAUGGGGGAAACCCUGAUGCAGCAACGCCGCGUGAGUGAGGAAGUAUUUCGGUAUGUAAAGCUCUAUCAGCAGGGAAUAGAAAAGAAGGUACCUGAAAAAGAAGCCCCGGCUAACUACGUGCCAGCAGCCGCGGUAAUACGUAGGGGGCAAGCGUUAUCCGGAUUUACUGGGUGUAAAGGGAGCGUAGACGGCGAAGAAAGUCUGAAGUGAAAGCCCGCGGCUUAACCGCGGAACUGCUUUGGAAACUUUUUUGCUGGAGUACCGGAGAGGUAAGCGGAAUUCCUAGUGUAGCGGUGAAAUGCGUAGAUAUUAGGAGGAACACCAGUGGCGAAGGCGGCUUACUGGACGGUAACUGACGUUGAGGCUCGAAAGCGUGGGGAGCAAACAGGAUUAGAUACCCUUGUAAA
rnacentral:rRNA from 1 species